rnacentral:rRNA from 1 species
GACGAACGCUGGCGGCGUGCUUAACACAUGCAAGUCGAACGGAAAGGCCCUGCUUUUGUGGGGUGCUCGAGUGGCGAACGGGUGAGUAACACGUGAGUAACCUGCCCUUGACUUUGGGAUAACUUCAGGAAACUGGGGCUAAUACCGGAUAGGAGCUCCUGCGGCAUGGGGGGGGUUGGAAAGUUUCGGCGGUUGGGGAUGGACUCGCGGCUUAUCAGCUUGUUGGUGGGGUAGUGGCUUACCAAGGCUUUGACGGGUAGCCGGCCUGAGAGGGUGACCGGCCACAUUGGGACUGAGAUACGGCCCAGACUCCUACGGGAGGCAGCAGUGGGGAAUAUUGCACAAUGGGCGGAAGCCUGAUGCAGCAACGCCGCGUGCGGGAUGACGGCCUUCGGGUUGUAAACCGCUUUCGCCUGUGACGAAGCGUGAGUGACGGUAAUGGGUAAAGAAGCACCGGCUAACUACGUG